rnacentral:lncRNA from 1 species
AAAAUUAAAAUCAGAAUUACUAAAAUUAAAGCUUGUUAUUGUCUGUCUCUGGCGUAAGUAGCAAAAAGCUUUAUCGUUGGUAGUCAAAGUCCCAAAUUCAAAGCCUACUUGUUGCUUCUUCUUUCUAGCUAAAUUUAGUUUUUAAAAUGAACGAAAUGGAUCGGAGGUUAUCUUUCUCUCAGAAAAAUAAAAAUAAAUUG